rnacentral:rRNA from 1 species
AUUGAACGCUGGCGGCAGGCUUAACACAUGCAAGUCGAGCGGAGAUGAGGUGCUUGCACCUUAUCUUAGCGGCGGACGGGUGAGUAAUGCUUAGGAAUCUGCCUAUUAGUGGGGGACAACAUUCCGAAAGGAAUGCUAAUACCGCAUACGUCCUACGGGAGAUAGCAGGGGACCUUCGGGCCUUGCGCUAAUAGAUGAGCCUAAGUCGGAUUAGCUAGUUGGUGGGGUAAAGGCCUACCAAGGCGACGAUCUGUAGCGGGUCUGAGAGGAAGAUCCGCCACACUGGGACUGAGACACGGCCCAGACUCCUACGGGAGGCAGCAGUGGGGAAUAUUGGACAAUGGGCGGAAGCCUGAUCCAGCCAUGCCGCGUGUGUGAAGAAGGCCUUUUGGUUGUAAAGCACUUUAAGCGAGGAGGAGGCUACUAGUACUAAUACUACUGGAUAGUGGACGUUACUCGCAGAAUAAGCACCGGCUAACUCUGUGCCAGCCGCCGCGGUAACAC